UACAUGUGGGGCAAGCGUUGUUCGGAAUUACUGGGCAUAAAGGGUGCGUAGGCGGCUUGUUAAGUCAGGCGUGAAAUUCCUGGGCUCAACCUGGGGGCUGCGUUUGAUACGUGCGGACUUGAGUGCGGAAGAGGGUCGUGGAAUUCCCAGUGUAGAGGUGAAAUUCGUAGAUAUUGGGAAGAACACCGGUGGCGAAGGCGGCGACCUGGUCCGAUACUGACGCUGAGGCGCGAAAGCGUGGGGAGCAAACAGG
rnacentral:rRNA from 1 species